rnacentral:pre_miRNA from 1 species
AUUAUACUCCCUCCGUUUGGAAUUACUCGUCCAAGAAAUGAAUGUAUCUAGAUGUAUUUUAGUUGUAGAUACAUCCUUUUUGUGACAAGUAAUUCUGAACGGAGGGAGUACUUC